ACGCAGCUCUGGAUCACCAAGUUGUCGGGUUGGGGGCAGGGAGGGGUGGACAGGACACGGGGCCAGGGUGCCAGCAGCUCCUCUGCUCUCCUUCAGCUCAAGGGGGUGUACUCACUUCCCAAGCUAGCAAGCCUGAGGGAGCCCUUUUGCUCCCAAGGGCUGCUCCUCUGUGAGUCAGGGGUCCUUGUGGGUCUCCUCACCCCCAGGAGGCUGAGAGGCUGCCCAACUUCUCACUGCAGACCCCCAAACCCCAGGACCCAGUCUCAUCAUGUGUUGAGGAAUAUCAAAGUUUUAUUCAUAUCACGAUUAAAAUAAUAUUAUACAACACACACUGACCAUGUCCCCAUUUCAGGGGUCUUUGCUGCUCCCUAAGUUAGAGCUCUCUUCUCCCGACCAGCACGCUUCACUCAGGGCUCUGAGUAACGUCACCGCUUCAGAGACGCCUGUCCCGACCAUCGUAUCUAAGGUCACUCUUCAUCAGCUCUGUCCCCUCACCCAAAUUUUUCUGUAUCUCCACCUAAUAAUGUUAUUUACUCAUCUUACAUAUUUACUCAUUUGUUUGUGGGGGUUUUGUUUUGUUUUGUUUUUGGUCUAUUUCCCUCUCUAGGUUGUAAACUCCAUGAGGACCGGGAUCUCAUGUGUUCACUGCUGCCUCCUCAGUGCCUAGGACAUGCAUCUUGCACAGUAGGAGCUCAAUCGAGGUACUAGUAAAUGAACGCAUGUACACAGAGUAGCAAAACUGUAGCUAGCCACUCCUCACACUUAGCAAUCUUGAACGCAUAAAAAGGCGAACUUGGAAAUUAAAUCCAAACAAAACCGACAAAAUUAGAUGAUAUGUUCUGCUCGAGUUCAAUUGCCAAGAAUGGGUUUUAAUAGUAGAAAGAUAGGGCCUCGAGCCAGUUCUGUUUCUGUAUUUUGAUGUAAUUAAUACCAACACAGAGAGUAAAUGCUUGCAAACAGAUGUGUGCAAACAAAGUGGCAUUAAUAACCUUAAGGCUUUGUUUACAAGGAUAAGCAGCUUUCAUACAAAACCAAAACCCUACACAUAGGCCUGCAGCACCAAUUUAAUGAGGGAUCACGUGAUGACUCUGUAGCGGUAUCCUGUUCACUUGACGGCACAUCAGCCUUAUGGUCGUACUAAAGUCUGCCUUAAAUAAACUCUUAAUCUUCUCAUCCUAAUUCGAGCUAUCUCUUCCUCACGUAUUUUUUCCCAGCACUGUUGCUGCCAACACACUCUAACCGGUUGCCGCACGUCAAUCUGGGAUCUGUUUGUCCUAUGAAAGUGACCCUGGCCACCAGCAAACAGGUAUCUUGGCCACUGGCGUGGCCUACUGGCACGUGCCUCGUUCUGCCCUCACUUUUCUCUGUCUGAACGAACGCAACCGAACUAAGCUUCCUCCAGACAGUGGACUGAGGCUAUAUUUCACUUUCCCUUGGAGCAAACGUGAGCAAUCAAAUACACCAACCCCAUCAGGAAGACAUGCGAAUGUUUCUUAAAUCAUCCAGCAAUACCAGGUUACAAGGUGGGUACCAAGAUAAAAUAGAUAAGAUCAUAUGAGUUCCAAGGAUUGUCAUCAAAAUGGAAAUGCAGACCUUUGAGAAUUACAAAGCAGAGCCCUGAGCCACUGAUCUCUUUACCUAUUCAAGGACCUUGGCACUUGUCACCGAGGCCCCCCAGGAGACACAGCGGAGCACUGAUGCACUGAAUUCCAGCCCAGGGAUUAAGCACAAUCUUACCAGUCGGAAAUGCAACCAUCGGGCCACCAGAAAACUAUUAAAGUUCCCGUCCUGGCAGGGCCCGUGUGGAACUGCAAAUCAGCUUCCUGGAUCCACACAUGUUUUGAAAUGGUUCUGUAAUACUGGCAUCUGCAAGGGCUUUCCAGGGAUGAAGACAUAAUGGGUGCCAAAGGUUUAAUUAAAAUUUUAUGGCGGAAAAACUUAUACUUGAGAACAUAAGUUCUCUCCAGUCUGGGUUUUGUUUCCCCUGUCAGUAUGGACAAGAGCACCAUGAUUCUCUUUUAUGCGGGACCUCUAAGCCCUGGGCUGCACGGUGGGGGGCUGCCUGCAGGGGGAGCCCUUCUGCAAUGGGACUGGGCCCUGGCACCCUGCCCAAAUGCUCACUGUGGCCUGGCACCUGUCCUCAGGGUGGGUGCUAGCCAAGACCAGCUACCCCGGAGGUCAGAGAGCAGGUGCAGCUGAGCAGGAGGUCACCUUAUCCAGUCUCCUGCCAGCACGCAAGCCCCCCCGGCACAGCCGUGGGACUCAGCAGCUUCUCUUAAGACUCAGCUCCCCGGGGCAUCAGCCUAGAGCAAAAACAACUCUCCUUAUUCAUGCCUUACAUGGCCCCUCAGUCUCUUCAGACGCUGAGGAUGGGCUUCCGUGCAGCAAACAUCCAGGGAGGAAAACCUCUCCUCAGCCUGUUCCUUCCGGUGCUGGAGGAAGCAGUUCUUGCAGAUGCUCUCCAAGGCCUCAGGCUGCUUGUCCCAGUGACCUGAGGACCAGGCCCUCACCCUCCUGAUGGUGUCUCUCUCUCUCUCACACACACAUGCACACACACACAGCCUCGACCCGGGCAAAUGCAGCCUCCUACCCAGUCUCCAACAGGAGGGAGUGCCCUGUUUGCCAAGAAAGCACUGCUCUGUGUCAGUCAUCUCCGCUCACCGCCCAGGCGUGAGGAUGAAGCCAGGAACCUACAGAGACAAAGGCCCGGCAGCCCCACCAAGCCAGGGACAGGUCAGCCCAGGAUGUGGCAUCCACGGGGAGGAAGAGGCCUGGGACUAGUUCCUUAGCCGGCGGCACCUUUGCCCACCUCCCAGGGAGGAAGCGCCCCUUCCAGCGGCUCCCAAGGCUUAGCUCCGAGCCCAUCUUCCCCUCACCUGACUGCAGGGAGGCUUCUGUGCUCUUCCAUGUUCUAGUGGCCCCCAGCGUGCCCACACUCUCGGCUCAAGGACCCGAGAAAGGAGACUGGGGUCCCAAGAGGAAGAGGGGCUUGUCCAGGACCCCCACCAACCUAGGCCCACGCUUGAUGGGAGAGAAACCAGGGCCCUCCCAGAAACACGUUUCAGUUAAUGGCAACGUUCCUUUCCCAUCUCUUCACUUCAAAAGGCUUUCUCUGAGACACUUCUUACAAUAAGUGUCAUUAAAGGAAGGGGGAUUUAGAAGUGACAGAUGGAAGCAGCCUGGUCAGACCACCCACCCCAUGGCACAUUUCCUCACCGGCUCCCCAAGCCAGGAGGCCAAGGGAAACCCAUCCUGGGUCCAGCCCCGUGGUUGGAGAUGGGGCAUCUCGGGCCAUGACCCUCCAGUGACCUCAGUGGGUAAAAAGGGCAGGCUGGUUCCUGCCUCGUCCAAGUCAUGGGCGCAGUGAGAGGUGAAGGUGCCUUGAGUGGGGAGGGGCCUUGGCAGUGACCCUACCUUGACCCGAGGGUGCCUCACAGAGGCGGUGAAGGAAGGGGCCUUGGAAGGCCGUAUGCUGGGGCGUUGGAUCUGACCUUUGGGAGAAAUCAUCAACUAGCGUGGGGAUCAGUCACCCUCCCUCUGCCUCCAGGGACCCAGCACUUUCCAGGUAAGCACCAGGUGGCACGCCAGGCCUCCUGCAUACAUUCAGUCCUCUCAACAAUGCUAGGAUGUAUGGAUCGUUUCCAACUAGCAGGUUGGGAGUCUCAGUUUGCUUAAUAAGUGAAUAACUUAGUAACUUCAUGGCUCAUUAAGUAACUUGUCCACGGUGUCAGUCAGGGUGUGGUAGGGUGCUCUCCACUGCCACCUCACAUUCCUGACCCCCAACCCUUCUGCCAUAGGGAAAGCAGUGCCUUUUCAGACCUUGGGGACCAGCUGAGCGAGGCUGACCGAGCCUGGCUCCCCCUCUGUGGCCACCGCCCCGAACCUGCCCGCUUCAGUGCUUGUGUUACAAACUGUGUGGUCUCAACCCUGGCUGCCCACCCUGCUCUAGCUCCACCCACGCGCUCCCUCCCUACCUUCCUGAAGCACUUCUCUGGCAUCAGCGCCCACCUGCCCCAAAGCCUUCCAUGGUUCUGUGUUUUCACACACUGAAGUCCAGGCAGACCAGUCACUGAAGGCCUCGUGUGACAAGGCAGCGACCUCUGCUCUCUAGACAUCUUUUUCGGGGCUCUCUCACACACACAUACUAUCUCCCACCCAAAUGGGACUACCCACUGAGCUCCUGGCGUGGCCUGCCUCUAACGGCCCCGACUUCAAAUGCGUGCAGACCCGCGGCUGCUGCCCAGAGCUGGGGGUCUGCCCGAGCGUGAGGGGAGCUCGUCAGCCAGGGGAGGCCCACGUGCUGGUCAGGCAGCCGCAGAGCGAGGGCUGGGUGUGGGAGGGGACUUGGUGGGUGUGAGAACGAAAGUACUGCCGCCGUAUCAGUACACAAAGGAUGUUGCAGCCAUCGAGCCAUUACCUUCCAGCCAGACGAUGAGCUUGGAGGGCACUGAGGAAGAGAAGACAGGGGAUACAGGCCCCAGAUAGCUGAGGUGCAGAUCAAAGGAAUGAAUGCAGUGAGCCCAGACUCUUGCCUCUUCCCAUACAGAGAAAAGCGCUAACUUCCUUAACUUGAGACGCCUGGUUUUCUUUUAUUGACAGUAAUCCUUUGAUGUUCCGACCACCUGGUCUCUUGUUGCAAAAACUUCUAUAUAUCCUGGCUUCCCCCCUUGCCUCUUCGGAACAGUUUUCUCAGCGUUAUCUGAGAUGCCGUGUCCUGGGCUUAAGUCCUCAGACAGUCUGCCGAAUAAAACAUAGCUCUCACCUUUCAGGUGGUGCGUGUUUUCAGCGCACAGGUGCACGAGCCGGUCAGCGGCCUGGGCAGAGGGCACCCUCCACUCCCGACCGCCGGGUUCCCGCAGGGCUCUGCACACACUGUCUCCACCCUCAGGGUGGUCCUGCCGUCCUGGUCUCCCCUGGCAACUCCCCCGAGGGGCCGGGCACUGCUGAGUCAUCCCUCACUCACAAAAGGCGCAGCCCCCCCGGUUCUGUACAAAGUCACACAAGCACAACCACUGCCACACAGCUCUUGUGCAACCUGGCACCGUCCUGCUGGCAGGUACUUGGGGAUUUCUCUGCGGCUGCACCCGCUCCCAGGGCAGGGAGCCACACACGCAUACCCUGCACCUGGAGAACGGUGGCCAGGCGCACCUCGGCCCUGGAGAGGCCUCUGCUGACCUCCGUGUGGGCUGCUGGGUGCAGGGGCUCCUGGGCAAUGAGCACCGCCACGGCCCUGGCCUGCCUGAGGCCUCUUCUGCCUGCACAUGGGCCACUGCUUUCACCACACACCUUCUUCCGGCCCGUCCCACUGUGCUUCCCAAAGCCACUGAGGGCCUGGAGACAGGGCCCACCGGGUGCCAGAUGGGGACCACAGCCUGAGCGCCGGCUCCACCACUGGCUCAGAGAGACUCUGGGAGAGUCCUUGUUCCUGUCUGGCUGCUGUUUCUUCACACAUAAAACAGAAGCUGGGACUAGACUGAUGACUUCCCAGCUUUGCUCCUAGAAGCCUGGUGGUCACACUCGUGGCCUGGAAGUGUCUCAGAGCUGAGACCUCCUGUCCCUGGUGCGUCACCCUGGGCACCUGUCCAACAGUGGCGGGAAGCAGAGAUACGAAGCGGGCAAGCGGCCUCAUGUGAACUCAGGGUGAAUCAGCCUCGGGGCUCACCUCCAGCCUCCAGCCCGUUUGCAAAGAGGCCAGGAAUUCCACUGCAGAUGCGCGUGAGGAGAGGGGAACGGGAAACAAACCAAGGGGCCAGAAGAGACUGGGCGCUGAAGGCCAAUUCUGCCAGCUUCUCAGAUAAGCCUGAGGUAUGUCCAGCCUCCAACCUCCAGGCCACCGCCCUCUGCCUGAGGAGUCCCGUUCUCUAGGAAUUGAGGCCACCUCGCAGGAGCCAGGCUUGAGCGGGUAGAUGUGGAAACAGGCCGAGGCAGACACCAAUGGGUUCCACCCCACCAGGCAACAGGAAAGAGAAAAGAGUGGUCCCAGGCCGGGCCCAGCAGCAACAGCCGCCGCCAGGAAGGUCCAAAUGCCCAGAUAAUGAGCCGGAUUCUUCUUCCAGAGACACCAGCUAAUGAAGGGAGCACAGGAAGCCCCGUGCCACAGGUGCAAACUAUUUAUACAAGUGUUAAAAAUACAUUUCGAAAGAAAGCAGGGAAGCCCGAGGAACCCCUCUGCCGCCCUUGGAGAAUGAUUUCUGAAUACCGCGUUAGUUUGUUUUCUGAGAGGUGUUUGAAGUCUCUCCGUGUACCCCUUGGGCAACUUUAAUUCCUCCUCUUAAUCCCCUGUUACACCUGCUGCUCACUAGCACAGUCCGCUUAGGGGAUUAUGAUUUUUAUUCUUAAUUAUACAGGUAUAUAUUUGGGUCCAUGUGCAUUGCUAUGUUUUUAUAUAAAUUUCAGAAGGCACUGUCAGCCUCACUUCUCCAAGAGGCCCAAAAUAGCCUGAGCUUCGUUUAGGCACUAGGCGGAUUUAAAAUGAAAUGUAAAGGGACAGAAGAGUAUAAUUUUUAAAAUCCAUUUUCAAAGGCUUGUAACCUUACAGCCAGAGAUGAAUGGGUUCGUGGGAAAGUGUAAGAAGGAACACGUGAAGAGCUGAGCCUGGGAGGAGCAGGGUGAGGUGGGGGGCACCUUUGCCAAUGCCUGGCAGAGCUGGAGGGACCCCCCCCCCCCACCAACCCGCCCAGGCAACCAGCUGCACAGUCCCGGGAAACAGGAAGGCACAGUGAUCAUCAUCAUCAUUGCCAGCAUCAUCACCAGCAGCAAGUCCCUCUUCUUAAACACCUACCACGUGCCAACUCUUGUAUUCAACUCUUCGCACACUUCACCUCACUAAACACAGCAGCCCUCUCAGGAGGGUGCCGCUAGGAUCCCUGGUUUUCAGAUAAAGAAACUGAAGCAUGGAAAGGUCAGGUGACUUCCCUAAGGUCCCACUGAAGAAAUGGUAGGGAAAAAAUAAUAUAUGAAUGACGAUGAUCAUGAUGAUAUUAAUUGAGUGUCGGCAACACGCCAGGCACAGUUUUAUGUGCAUUAUCUCAUUUAACCCUCACCAAACGCCAGUGAGAUAAGUCCUGUUAUUAACCUUAUUUUACAGAUGAGGAAACCAAGGCUCAGAGAGGCUAAAAAAAAGCUGCCAGAGGUCAGAGAACCAGUAAGGACCUCUGACUUGAACCCAGGUCAGUGAGACCUCAGGACCCAAGCCCUCAAUUUCUCCUCUCUCACUCCACAAAGUAACGGCGUGCUCCCUAGCCACAGAGGACUUAAGGACAACGGCACAAGAGAUCUGACAACGCAGCAUCCCUCCCACUGGUCCUGGAGGCCUAGUAACCAGGGGUCUGUCUAGGUUCUGGAUCAUCAGGGCCCCAGCAGCUGAGGUAAUCUGGGAAGACUCCCUGGAGGAAGGGUCUAAGAGGUAGGCUGGGGAAGAACGGGCUGAAGCACAGAAGACAGUGGAAGUGGAUAAAAUGGGGCACAAAGGUAAGAAAGGACGAGUAUGCUCAGAGGCGCGUGGCUGGAGACCUUAGGAGUCAGAUAAGGCAGAAGGAUCGGGAGAGAGGUCUGGUCUGGGGACAGACAUCUAGGGGUCACAGAACCAUAGGGAUCCUUCCACCAAAUCCACCCUCCCUGCCUUCCCUCCAGCGACUGGGCAUGAAGAAAGCAUCCCUACUCCUAUUCAUCCCUGCUCCUGCCUUCAACACCAAGUCGCACCUCCUGAACCCUCCCAAAGACAUUGCUCCUGCCGACGGCCCCUCUCUCGGGAUCAUUAAACUUCUGCUUCCUCCUGCCUCUUUCACAUCAGCAUACAAAUGUGCUCUAUUUUUUCCUAUGUCUCAGAAAACCCUGCCUGGACCCCCACAUCCCUCUCAAGGUGCCACCCCGUUUCACUGCUGCCCAUUUUAUGGCAAAACACCUCGAGAGCUGGGGGGGAAUCGGAUAGAGCUGUCUCCUCCCACAGCUCCCCGGUGGACUGGCUCUCACCAGGUCACCAACAGCUCGGGUGGUCAAAGGCCACCCUCAGCAGCCUUUCCCUCCCACCCGUCUGGCUGUACCUUCCCCAUCGCCCUGGCUGGUGCCUCCCGCAUCCACGACUGCCCUGUCCCUAGGCUCUGAGCCCUCUUCUCUUCUCUCUCUCCACCCACCAGCUCGUCCAGUCCUGUGGUGCUGAAUUCUACACCCAUGAUGCCAAAAUGUCCAUGUCCAGCCCCGCCCCUCCCCUCAGCGCCGCACGCCUGACGGCAAACUCGAUGUCAUCGCUUAUGUGUCUAAGAGGCCUCUCAAACUUAACAGGUCCCAAACUGCACUCCUGGUUCCCACUCCCCCAAACCUGUUCUUCCUCUGCUCCGCCCCCACCUCAGCAAACGGCUGUGGGGCUGAGGCAAAGAGGGAAGUUAGGCGUAACUCUUGGCUUGAGCAACUCUGUGGACGGAGUGCCAAUCCAUCAGAAAACCCUCUUGACUAUACCCCCAGCACAUACCUGGAGCCACCCACGUCUCUCCAUCCUCACCGCGCCCCGCCAGCCUACGCCAUCACCAUUUUGCACCCGGACUCCUGCACUAGCCUAACUGACCUCCCAUCUUCACCUCUGCUCCCUACAAUCCACUGUCCAUUCAGUGGUCAAAGGGAUCUUUUUAAAACACAAAUCCAAUCAAGUCAUCACCACCACCACCACUCUAGCUUCCCACUGUACUUGGAAUCAUAUCCAAACUCCUAGACAUUGCCCCAUACAGCCACAUAGGAUCUGAACUCUAUCUCACCCAUAUCAUCCUUUAGCACUCCCUUCUGGAUUCCUACAUCCAGCUGUACUGUCCAUUCUGCAUCUUCAACACACCAGUCUUGUUCAACCCCAGGGCCUUUGCACUUGCAGUUUCAUCUGCCUGUAAUGCUUUCCCCUGAUAUUCUCACAGCUGAUCCCUUGUCAGGCAGAUCUCAGCCAAACUGUCACCUCCAUGGGGAAGCCGUCCCUGACCACCCAGUUUAAAAGAGUUGUCCCUCACAUCAACCAUUUUUAAUGCUUUACGGUAUACUUGUCACCCCCGACAGUUUCCUUGGUCAUUAAUAUAUGUGUGCUACCUGUGUCUCUCACCAGAGUGGGAGCCCCAGGAGACAGGGACCUCAUCUGUCAUGCUUUCUGCUGUGCCCCCAGCAUCCAGCACAGAACCUGGCUCAGCCUUGAUGCUCAGUCACCAUGACGUGAGUGACUGUGUCAUCCCAUCUCUUCAGCCCUCCUCCUAUCACCCACCCAACCUCCCCCAACACCCUGGCCUUUCUCACAAGGCCCACUGUCCACAUGUUGAAGAUCAGUGUCCUGAUUAUGUCAGAGCUUAGGGGUGGGGGCGAAGGGGAGUGGGAAUCACAGUGGCUGCCUUUACCCCCCAGAGCCUCAGCCACCACUCCCACCUCCCCACUGCCCAGGCUGCCCUGGGCCACGCCUGCCCUGGCCUGAGGGCGAAAUGCCGAGGAGGCAGCCCUGUGCUCUGGAGCACCAGCUCUGCAGGAAGACAGCCAGGGCUCAAAUCCUGGCUCCCCACUUAUGGCCGAGGGACCUGAGCAGGUCUCUUCACCUCUCUGAAGACAGUGAAAAGAUCAGUGGUUGCCAGGGGGUGGGGGAAGGGAGGGAUGAACAGGUGCAGCACAGAGGAUCUUUAAGGCAGUGAAACGACUCUGUCUGAUACUAUCAUGGUAGAUAAAUAUCAUUAAACAUUUCUCCAAACCCAUACAAGGUACAGCAAUAAGAGUGGACCCCGACAUAAACUACAGACUCUGGGCGAUCAUGAUGUGUCAACGCAGGUUAAUCAGUGAUAACACAUGUGCUACUCUGGUCGGGGGAGUAAAUGGAAACUCUCUUUACCUCCCCCUCAAUUUUGCUGUGAACCUAACACUGCUCUAUUAAAACGAAAGCUAUUAAAAAAUUAAAAAGUUGUAAAAGCCCAGCACGAAGCCUGGUGCCCAGAGUUCCCUUCUGAUAUGUACCUGGCUGAAUGUGACUGUGCCUCUUUAUGCCUUCAGUCUACCAGGUAGCUAGACACAGCCCUGAUGCUGCAAAUUUAUUGUGCCGUAGUUAAAACAUUAAGCCACACUUAAUACCUGCAAGGGCUGACUUCUAAUGACGGCCACACCGACAAACUUAUGGUCCACUCAGCCCCUCACUGCCAGACAAAAAUGUAGGGACCGAGCUCUGCAGCCUCGUUACCUGGGCCGCAGGGAAACGUCCAGCUCAGGCUAAUCCACAGGGUAUGCGUUGGUCCUCGGAGUUGCACCAAGACGUCCUGGCCCGAAUGCCCUUCCCAGCAACCUACGCCGUCAACACCAGCCCAACCCAUGGUGUCUCCAGGCCGCAAGAGCACUUGCUCACGUCGCCAGCACCCUGCCCACACCCCAGCCUCUAAGCAGCCCAGGGAGGAAAAGAGAGU